rnacentral:rRNA from 1 species
AGAAGGCCCUGAUGUA